ACCUGGUCUGGAGAUGAGGCUGGCACACGUCUUCCUAGGUUGGUCUGCAUGGGGUCCACCUGUUGAGUUUGAGAUGAUUCGGGUUUUUUAGAGGACUCUGGGGCUGGGGGAUGACUGGCAGGGAGUUCGUAAAUGAUGGUUUGUAGAUCAUUUAGGGAUUGUGUGGGCCUGAUGGUGGGCUGAAGAUCCGGGGGCAAUGCAAAGCUGAUGCGUUUUUUAGAAUCCAGAAUCUUCUUGGAAUUAUGAAAUGUUCUCAUUGGAGUGUGAGUUCGGCAGGUAGUCUGCUCCUCGACAAAUAUUUGCAUGGUAUCCGCAGUUGGGUAUUCACAUAACACAGAACUUUCUGUAAGAGAGCGUGAUGAGCCUGAUAAUACUGUGGUCCGCUGCUGCCCAUUUGAUCCGGGCAAGCGGUUACUUUUAAUGGUCGUCUGGCCUAUGGUUGAUAAAAAGGGGCUGCUAAUACUAAUUCCUGGUAGACUAGUGGCAGACAAGCUAUUACUAAGAGUACUCCUCUGCAUGCUAGAUGUAGGUUGAGUGUUAACAGGACUGCUCCUCAGAGCGCUAGUUACUGGUAGGAUGUUAACAGGACUGGUCCUCUGAGCAUUAGUUGCUGGUAGGGUGUUACCAGGACUGCUCCUCUGAGAACUAGUUUCUGGUAAGGUGUUAACAGGAUUGUUUCUUGGAGCGCUAGUUACUGGUUGGAUGUUAACAGGACUGGUCCUCUGAGCACUAGUUACUGGUAGGGUAUUAUAAGGAUUGUUCCAUGGAUCACUAACUGGUGGCAUUUUGGUAACCGGAGCCAUCCUUUCAGUAGUAGUUGCUGUCAAUGUAGUCACUGCUGGUUGAAUGUUGUUUUCAAUCAUCCUUUGCAUGCCGGAGGUGGAAAACAUGUCGUGGGGGCUCAUAGUCUGCAAGCCAGAUGUUGGCAAAUUAUUUUUAGGGCUGGUCUUUUGCAUGCCGGCUGGUGGAAGUGUAUGACUUGUGCCAAUCUUCUGUUCACCGGAUACAUUCUGGCUGUUACUGACACCGGUUCUGUUUGCAGUAACUAUUGCUAAGUUGUCAUUGCUUUUGAUCUCUUGCCUAUGUAAUGAUGAUAGGCCAUCAGAGUUGAUCUGCUGAUCAGAAGGCAGGUAAGCAUAGCUAUACUGUAUCCUUGGUACAUCCCCUGCCACUUCCUCGCACUGAACGUUGUAUGGCUGGCACCCAUUGGCACUCAAUGACUGAGAGGUUAAGACUUUGACAUAUUUCGCUGGAAUAUAGAAUGGUUUUGACUUGUUAUCGUGGCAGACGUGCCACCAAUGCUCAUUAGUCUUUUUCAGGAGUAUGUACCUCUCGUUAGGUUUUAUAGUGAUGACACGUCCGUCUUUAGCGGUGUACUCGAACUCAUGUUCCACAAGGACAAACUCCCUCUCCAGAAUUCUGGUAGACUGCAUCCUAACGAUCUGGAUUUAGCCUGUAGCAGGACAACAACAGAAGACCAACACGUGAUUAAUAUGGAGUCAGGAAUAGUUGGUUACUUUGCCAUACGCAAUAUAUAAAAAUAGAAACAUCACAAAAAUGUCCUUUUAACUCUGUCAACAUACAUAAUAUCUAAUAUCCCUAAAACCUCCUCAGCCUCUCCUGGCAUGAAGGGACCUGUAAACAUAUUUG